GAUGAACGCUGGCGGCGUGCCUAAUACAUGCAAGUCGAGCGAACAGAUGAGGAGCUUGCUCCUCUGACGUUAGCGGCGGACGGGUGAGUAACACGUGGAUAACCUACCUAUAAGACUGGGAUAACUUCGGGAAACCGUAGCUAAUACCGGAUAAUAUAUUGAACCGCAUGGUUCAAUGGUGAAAGACGGUUUUGCUGUCACUUAUAGAUGGAUCCGCGCCGCAUUAGCUCGUUGGUAAGGUAACGGCUUACCAAGGCAACGAUGCGUAGCCGACCUGAGAGGGUGAUCGGCCACACUGGAACUGAGACACGGUCCAGACUCCUACGGGAGGCAGCAGUAGGGAAUCUGCCGCAAUGGGCGAAAGCCUGACGGAGCAACGCCGCGUGAGUGAUGAAGGUCUUCGGAUCGUAAAACUCUGUUAUUAGGGAAGAACAAAUGUGUAAGUAACUAUGCACGUCUUGACGGUACCUAAUCAGAAAGCCACGGCUAACUACGUG
rnacentral:rRNA from 1 species